ACGGAAGGCAGCAGUGGGGAAUAUUGCACAAUGGGGGAAACCCUGAUGCAGCGACGCCGCGUGAAGGAAGAAGUAUCUCGGUAUGUAAACUUCUAUCAGCAGGGAAGAUAAUGACGGUACCUGACUAAGAAGCCCCGGCUAACUACGUGCCAGCAGCCGCGGUAAUACGUAGGGGGCGAGCGUUAUCCGGAUUUACUGGGUGUAAAGGGAGCGUAGACGGCGUAUCAAGUCUGGUGUGAAAGGCAGGGGCUUAACCCCUGGACUGCAUUGGAAACUGGUAUGCUUGAGUGCCGGAGGGGUAAGCGGAAUUCCUAGUGUAGCGGUGAAAUGCGUAGAUAUUAGGAGGAACACCAGUGGCGAAGGCGGCUUACUGGACGGUAACUGACGUUGAGGCUCGAAAGCGUGGGGAGCAAACAGGAUUAGAUACCCUGGUA
rnacentral:rRNA from 1 species